GGAGGAACUGCCUGUAAGCGGCCGUGGAGCUCAUCCCUCCCUCCCAGAGAAAAGAGAGAACGAGAGAGGGGGACGGAGGAGCGUCAAGAGAGAGCAAUGAUUGAAAGAAGUAGCGGCUGCCUGUUGGAUCAACAUACUGCAGCAGAUUACGGAGCAGCAGACGAGAAGGGGGCUCUCAAACACCCACUUUAUUCUCUUUUACUAAUUUUGCUGCACAGUCUUGCUCUCACCACCGUCUCAUGCAUGUGUUCCUCUACUAAUGUCAAUAUUUUAGCUGACAGUACGCCUCUGCACUCAUCUGUCACUAAGCCAACUGUCUCAUGUUUACUACUGUCAGUUGUUUGGAGAGUUAAGUCAUCGUAAGUCUGGUGCACUGACUAAAUAUCAGAUAUACUGGAUGCGUAUUUGGAUGAUAAAGCUAAACUGUACACUUUCAGUUGUCUUUACAAUUAAUCAUUUAGUCUGCAAAAUAUCAAAAAAAAAUACUGAAAAAGGCCCAUUGCAUGGUGCAUUUUCCCAUAGCAGUGAUGUUUGCUUUAAUCCCCUGUGUUGUCCAUCCAAACAAUGCCUGACACAUUAAAAUAUAUGAAUGAUAAAGCAAUAAAAUAUUAUAUUCUGAUCAGUCUUGUUUAAA